AGUAUAUAAGAUUUUUAAUAAGUGCUACGAAAAACUCUGACCGCAGGCCACAUACCAACAGUUGGCAAAACACGCCUCGAGAAAGAGACAGAAAGAAAAAAAGAGAGAACAGAGAGAAAGAAAUAGAGAGAAGAGAGAUAGAGCAAGAGGUCAGUGUGGACUGCGUGCGAGACGAAGAGAGGAGGAAAGAGAGCAAAAGAGCUCGAUCGCAGGCUGCAGAUGCUGGCGAUAGCGCGUAUAAAAGAUGUAUCUACAUUUAGUUCGGACAGGCACCACUUUAUUCGCUCGCCGAGCGCUAACAAGUGUUUUCCAUCGGCUGAAGCGGUGCUUUAAAGAUCCGCCGAGUGCAACCGGUCUGCCACGAAGUCGCGCUACUUGCUGGUAGCUCGUUUGGAAUUGCGGUAAAUCUCGCCGCGCGCGAACAACGCGCAACUGUCAAUCGGCGAAGCCAAGUUUUGAUUUACUUCACGCGCACAUCGUCGUACAUCCGUUGGCGUGUGCAACCGGAUGUUCUCCAUGACUGGUGUGCUUUUUCAUCCACUCCAUCAUUUACGAUCCGGUAAUGUAGUAUUCGCUACAGUGUAUACUACUAUCUUCAAAAUAUUUAGGAAGACUUCAAUAAUAGAUGUCGGCUGAAACGCUAGAAAUGUUCAACCUCACGAAGUCGAGAACUUCUGGCUUUGAUGGGGGUUACAACAUCGACUUGCAGUUCUCGAGAAUCACGAUUCGGUGACGUGUGGCUAUCUCCGGGUACCGCCGUGAACGAGUGCAUAUAAACGUAAAGUUUACCGUGUCGUCGUCGGUGCGCCGCGACAAAGGGAGUUGUGCCGCAGGCGGACGUUUCUACGUUUUAAAGCGUUUCAAGAGGGAACCGUGUCACCAUCAUUCGCAACAGAAAACACCACAGUU